rnacentral:tRNA from 1 species
UCCCCUGUAGCUCAACGCGACCCGACACCGCGCCGCAAGAGGUAGCUAUCGGGAGUCCACGGCCAGAGCACCACCCCAGUGGCGACGCCGGUUCGAGCCCGGCCAGAGGGAACCA